rnacentral:sRNA from 1 species
UUUCGAUCUUUGUUUUUCUUGC